rnacentral:pre_miRNA from 1 species
GGAAUAUAAGAAUCCGUCUCUUAACUUUUAACUAAAAAAUUAAGAACCGGUUCUUAAAACUCUUAUUUAAAAACCAGUUCUUAACUUUUUUAGUUAAAAGUUAAAAGACGGGUUCUUAUAUUUC